AUCUCUCGGUGCACUCGGAUGCGCUCAGUCUCUGCUACCUCUUCACAGCGUCGUCGCCGCCGCUCGCCUGACGUCUCACCUGUCGGUGAGCGUUAGGGCCUGCUGUGAGCUCUCCCAGGGGAAAAAUGGAAAAGAUGGUUGAUUGCAGAGGGGAGGACUGAGGCUGAUGCCUGCUUUCUAAGAGCUUGGAGGAAUGGUAAAGAUGGGUGAUGCAAGAGAGGCCAACAUUCAAUGGAAGCUGCUCUUUCAACUUGUGUACUUGAAUGCAGUAGGAUUGAAAUUAAAAAAAAAAAACAAGAAGAACAAGGAUGGUAUCUAGCACGGAGUGGUCUCGAUGGGAUGUACUGAGAGCGGGAAAAAAAACUCUUUUACUAAAAUUACUUUUAAGCUUUUUUUAGCUACAAGCUUGGGACAAAUCUGUUACUUGUUUUCCUUGGUUCCCAGUUCUGAGGAGUUUAAUAAGUUAUUGAUAUUGUUUCUACACCAUUUAUUAGUUGAUUCGUAACUGUGAUUUUCCUCUAUUGGAGCUUUUGAGAAUUUGAUGA